CAUACAAAUUCAUCCAGACAAACAAGUGUAAAAAACCUUUUUUUUCCCAUUUCCCCCUUGAACUAUCCGUAAAUACCACCAUUCCACCAAACUCCCCUCUGUCUUCUACGACAAAUAAUCUUUUCAACCCAGUAACUUAUAAUUAAUUACAGAGAGAUUAGCAAACAUAUAAUGGUAAGAAUCAGUUGUCGUAGGUGCGGCACUCGUCGGUCUCCGGGUUGUCCUUGCAGUAGGCCUCGAGCGGGUCGGAGGUCUCCUUGAGCUUGUCGCGCGCGUGGCUCGCCGCCGCGCUCAGCUCCUCCACCUCGUCCCACGCCGCCGCGCACUCGCCGCUCGCCGUGUCCUCCGCGCACGCCUCCUUCGCCUUGUCGAUGCUCUCCGACAUCUUGUCCGAGAUGUCCGGCGGCGUCGCCGGCCCGCUCGCCCUCACCGCCGCGAACCCGCCGCGGCCAACACGGGGAAACACCACGCGUCCAGCUCCGGCGACCGGCCUAACGAGGGACGACGCCGCCGCCGCCGGGGUAGACAGGCCGACGUUGGUCAGCGUGGACGCCAUGGCUGGCUGUUGAUGCGGAUUUCUGCGUGUGAUGUGGGCGUUUGUAGCUGUUGCGACGAGGCGUUCGUUGCACGGAUUGAAGAGAUGGGGUUUAUAUAUAUAUAGCUCCGUGGGGUGGGGGAGAAGGGGAGAGAGGAUUCGACGACGUGCACUCGUUUCUUAUCGCCUCCUCAGCCAAUCGUCGUGUGCCACGUGGGCUGUAUUUUGAGAUAUUUCAUGCGAAAUGGGGACUUGGCAAAGGAGAUCUUUUUCUUUUCCCUUGGGUGAAUCUAAGGUGAGAGAAGCAGUUUUAAUUUGACCGUGAAAACAUGAGCAGAUGACUGUGGGUGUGUACAUGUAUGCAGAAGUUCAG
rnacentral:lncRNA from 1 species